rnacentral:rRNA from 1 species
GUUUGUGGCCGUACUGUCUUGUCAGAGCCCGAUCUUGUCGGAUCUGUGAAGCUACGCAGGGUUAGGCCUGGAUAGUACUUGGACGGGACACGGGCAUUCUAGAUUCCGCAGUGG